rnacentral:rRNA from 1 species
ACAGGUCUUCGGAUGCUGACGAGUGGCGAACGGGUGAGUAAUACAUCGGAACGUGCCCAGUAAUGGGGGAUAGCUCGGCGAAAGCCGGAUUAAUACCGCAUACGCCCUGAGGGGGAAAGUGGGGGACCGCAAGGCCUCACGUUAUUGGAGCGGCCGAUGGCUGAUUAGCUAGUUGGUAGGGUAAAGGCCUACCAAGGCGACGAUCAGUAGCUGGUCUGAGAGGACGAUCAGCCACACUGGGACUGAGACGCGGCCCAGACUCCUACGGGAGGCAGCAGUGGGGAAUUUUGGACAAUGGGGGAAACCCUGAUCCAGCAAUGCCGCGUGUGCGAAGAAGGCCUUCGGGUUGUAAAGCACUUUUGUCAGGGAAGAAAUCCUUUGGGCUAAUACCCUAGGGGGAUGACGGUACCUGAAGAAUAAGCACCGGCUAACUACGUGCCAGCAGCCGCGGUAAUACGUAGGGUGCAAGCGUUAAUCGGAAUUACUGGGCGUAAAGCGUGCGCAGGCGGUUGUGUAAGACAGGUGUGAAAUCCCCGGGCUUAACCUGGGAAUUGCAUUUGUGACUGCACGACUAGAGUGUGUCAGAGGGGGGUGGAAUUCCACGUGUAGCAGUGAAAUGCGUAGAUAUGUGGAGGAACACCAAUGGCGAAGGCAGCCCCCUGGGAUAACACUGACGCUCAUGCACGAAAGCGUGGGGAGCAAACAGGAUUAGAUACCCUGGUAGUCCACGCCCUAAACGAUGUCAACUAGUUGUUGGGGAUUUACUUCCUUGGUAACGUAGCUAACCCGUGAAGUUGACCGCCUGGGGAGUACGG